rnacentral:rRNA from 1 species
UCCGGUGACGAUAGCAAUGAGGAUCCACCUGUUCCCAUACCGAACACAGAAGUUAAGCUCAUUAUCGCCGAUGGUACUUACACACCACGUGUUGGGAGAGUAGGAAGUUGCCGGAU